GCGGGUAUAGCUCACUGGUAGUGUGCGUGCUCAGCAUGUACGAGGUCCUGGGUUCAAUCCCCAGUUCCUUCA
rnacentral:tRNA from 1 species